GUAAAUACUCCUCCUGUGAGCAAUGCUAAGUAGUAGCAGAAAAAGAAAACUUUAGAACUCUGUUGCUUUGUGCCUAGUUGUACGCGUCAGCUUUGCUGCAUUGCGACUAGAAAGCGGCAGGAGCUGGGGCUGGCAUUUGCAGCAAUGCAGAAAGCAGCAGCUAUGACACAACAGUCAGCUGACUCGAAAUUCCAGUAGUCCCAGGAACCUGCUUUGCUGACUCCUUUUAAAACCUAGUGGGAAAAGAGUCCCAACUGAUACAAUCCAGGAAGCUUUUCUGUAACCCCUUGGAGACAUUUAUAUUGUGAAGAAAAUUGAGCUUCAGGAAAAGGUGCGGGUAUCUUACUGUGGAAUUUCCAGCACCAAGUCUCCAGGUUGUCCUGAAAUCACAUGCUACCAAGGACUGAGGAAUGCUAAUUCUCAACUGCAAAUAUUGACUUACAGACCAUAUAGCAAAGAAUAAGCAAAGAGAGGGUUGUGGGAAAAUGGACAAAACUCUAUGAAAGAAAGUCAAUCAAAACCCUAUAUGGCUAAUACAUUUCAGUUAAUUUGAGAUAUUUAUUCAGAAGAAUAAGGCACACAUUUUAUUUUUCAUUUGCAUUUUGGAAAGAGAACCCAGUGAGGAGGUGGCUUUCAAUGCCUGUUAUAGUUUGAAUCUGAAAUGUCUCCCAGAAGUUCUCGUGUUAAAUGGUGGGUCCACAGCUGAUGGCACUGCUGUAUUAGGAGGUAGUGGAACCUUUAGGAGGUGGGGUCUCGUGGCAGGAAGUAAGGUUAUUGGGGGCUUGGUCUUAUAGGGGAUAUUGGGACCUUGGCCCCUUCCUCUCUUUUUCUUCUUCCUGGCUGCCAUGAUGGGAGUAGCUAGUUUCACCCUAUGUGACUCCUGGUCACAGGGCCAAAGUGACAGGUCCAAGUGACCAUGGACUGAUACCUUUAAAACUAUGAGCCAACAUAAAUAUUUCCUCUUCUAAGUUAUUUGUCUUGGGUAUUUGUCACAGCUAUGGAACACCAACACAAUGCCAUUGUUAGAAAUCUCUGUUCAGCUCAGAUCAGGGAAAAAUUCUCUUCCCUGGCCCUCUCAACUCUCCAUUCUGAUUUUUUACCCCACAUGCUCUUUGGCAGUCUUGUGAAGUCAGUGGAUCACUUCUCAAGAAUGUUUUUUCUGUACACCUUCAGUGCAA
ensembl:lncRNA